UUUACAUGUUUACAUUUCCUGGACUAGUUCACAAAAUUGGUCUACAACUAUCUAACAACAUAAAUAUAUGUAUCUGCCUACAUAUAUAAACUCUCAUAAUCUGUUCAACAGAUCAAUGAAGGUGUCUUCUUUGCAUGGAAUUGUGAGGCCCCCUUCUGGAUGAGUAAACCCAAAUUCUUCCUCAGCUUGACAUAACAGGUCUUGAAAUGUAGGCUCAUUUAAGUAAGAGAUUGGAACUACAAAUCUUCUUCUUUGGUUCUCCCCAACAUAAACUGCCAUGCAUCCCUUGGGGAUAUUUGUAUUACGAUCAAGAUUUGUUGAGGAAAAUUGUCGGUUGAGAAUUUGCUUGAGAUUAGUGAUACGAGGCACGCGGAUACCCAUGAAUCUGACAAAAAAAGAAGCUUUCAGGGUAAACUUUGGGGAUAUGAAAAUACAAGGACUUCUGCAGAUUGAUCAAAUGAUUUUGACACAAGAUUACACUCAAUUUUAUAAUAAAUUUAUUUAAGUCUCCAAUGGUGUUUAUAUAGAACUGAUAGAAUGUAUUGGUGGUUGAUCAAAAUGCAGAUUGAGUGGCAUCUGCACAUGCUAUUCUCUUUCAAUGGCCACACAUGUUUAAGACUAAUGUUAGGACUUAAAUGUCUGUGAAAGACAUCAUGUCCUACUAUUUGUUUUGAACAAAUCUCAACCUGAAAUUUUCUUAUCUGUAUUUAUGCUUUAUGAUUAUGGUGGAGAUGCAUAUAAUAUGUAGUGAAGAUGAACCACAUGCAUCUAAAAGCUGGAAACUUCAAAUGUCAUGUUAUUAGUUCUUGUGGUCAAUAGUUUUAAGUUAGGUGCUCAUGUGAUGGUGUUUUUAUUACAUAAUCCCAGCUGCUUCUUUUGCUGAAUUGAUGUACCUUGUACUAGAAAACGCCAGCUGAUUUAACUUGUCAUAUUUAAUUAUCCUGAAUAAAAGGGUAAAUUUCCUCUAAGAAACAAACUAUCAGAUUAAAUGGUUGCGAUUCUGUCAAGUUGUAGCUGCAUUAUGUGAAAAUAUCAUAUCUGGAAUAAGGAAGGUAUACUAUCUGUAGGUGAUAAAAACAACGCCAAUGAACACUUAGUAUGUCAUCCCCACCAAAACAAUUUACGACAAUUUAAAAACGUAGAAAUUAUAUCCUGCAUGCCUCCCAAAUAAACUUAGUAUGAAACACUUAGAAUGUAGGGCAGCAUAUGUUCUUCAGAAUUUAUAUAUACCACUUAGAAUGCAGAUUGAGUGGCACAGAUGCACACUAUUAAAGACAAACUCAUAACAUAAAAUCUAUAUCCUGCCUGCUAGAUAGAUCUUUGGUGGAGUCUUUAGCUAUGGAGUAGUUAUGUCUGCAACCCACAUAUGUCUUCCUUUUAGUUUGAUUUUUUUUGUUCACACAUAUGACAAUUGUAGGAAACCGUCUAUUCUUCAGCAAUCGUAUACCAGGUCAAGAUCUGACAUUGGGUCGAGAUUUCUUAAGCAGGCAUAGUCGGAAUUGAUGUUUCCCACCACACUUAUAUACCAUGUUAUAAGUCAUAAAUACAUGUAGCUACUGAAAGACAAGAUCAUGUGUUUAGUGUCUAAUGCCUCACCACUCAAUGUGCAAUAUGAUGAGAUCUUUUAUACAACUUUCUUCUUGCUCUAUAUAAACACUUAACUAAGCGUUACUAAAAUUCAUCACAAACUCACUUGUCUAAGUCUAAAGCCUGAACUACAAAAAUAUAUACAGGUCCUAGUGUUUUCUCAGUUUCUCUGAACUCUUAUCUGAAAGAUCUAUAGCAUCAUGGGUAUCCGUAUGCCUCGUAUUACUAAUCUUAAGCAGAUCCUUAACAGGUCGUCAUUCUUAUUGAAUCCUGAUCUCGCGUCAACAAUUCCAAAGGGGUGCUUGGCAGUUUAUAUUGGCGAGAGGCAAAGAAGCCGAUUUGUGGUACCCAUUUCAAUCCUGAAUGAGCCUGCCUUUCAAGGUUUGUUAAGUCAAGCCGAGGAAGAAUUUGGAUUCAAUCAUCCUGAAGGUGGUCUUACAAUUCCUUGCUCAGUGGACACAUUCAUUAAUCUCACGUCAUGCCUGAACAAUUUCUAAUAGUGUUUUUUUUAUAUACUUUUAGAUAGUAUACCACCUCCGAUCUCAUUUGAUGAGCUUCUGAGUGUACAUUGUAGAACAGAGAUCUCUUCAUACAAACUUUGUAGGGAGCCCAUAAUUUGACACUCAAUUGAUUUUGAUCAUAUUGAUUUCUCUUAUUCUCAUAACUGGAUACUUUUUAUUUAUAUAAGCACAUAGAUAAGCAGUGGUUGAAAUCAUCACAAUUUUAAUUGUCUAAAGCCUUAUUCAUACAACAUACAACUUUACCUAGUAUUACUAAUCUUGAUAAAUCCUGAUUAUACUCUAACAAUUCCAAAAGGGUUGGUUAGCAUACCUGAAUGAACCCUGCCUUUCAAGACUUAUCAAGUUAACCCGAGGAAGAAUAUGGAUUCCAUCAUCCGGAAGGUGGCCUCAAAAUUCCCUGCACAGAGGACACGUUCCUUGACCUCACUUGGCGCCUACAAAAUUAUAUUGAAAAACAGUUUAUUUAAUCGUUAAAUAGCAUAGCAUCUCCAAACAUAUUUACUUAGCUUAAAAAUGUGUACAGUAGCAUAGAGAUUUUUAAAUUGCAUUAUAUAAGCGAGAUAUAAUAGUCAGAUACUCGAUUUGCACCAAGACACAUUGAUUACGGUUUCUGUUGAUACUGUUUCUAUCUAACAAAUUUUUAUCUGAAAACAAAUUACUAACUCUCUCAAAGAUAAGAAUUGUUCUUGGAACAUAUCCGUAAUAUACAAAACCUACAAAAAAAACCAACUAAAUAUGCCAAGGUAUAGCAGUCUAAGAGCCUGUUUGUCCAGGCUUCAAGCUGGGACUUUAAACUGUUUCUAAUUUUAAGCUGAAAAAUGUAUGUUUGUGUAAUAAGUUAGAAGCCGACUUAAAGUCAGAAUUAAGCCAGAAACUGACUCAAAGCCAGAAGUUAGUUUGAUGUACUUUUUAAAUCCUAAUCUUACCUCAACGAUUCCAAAGGGGUGCUUGGCAGUUUAUAUUGUGGAGAGGCAAAGAAGCCGAUUUGUAGUACCCAUUUCAUACCUGAAUGAGCCUGCCUUUCAAUAUUUGUUAAGUCAAGCCGAGGAAGAAUUUGGAUUUAAUCAUCCGGAAGGAGGUCUUACAAUUCCUUGCUCAGUGGACACAUUCAUUGAUCUCACUUCGCGCCUGAGAAAUUUAAAAUGGAAAACAAUUUGUGUAUUUUUAGAUGUUAGAGCAACUGUGAUCUCAUACGAUGAGCAUCUGAGUGUCAAUUGUAGAACAGAGGUUUUUCAUAUAAGUUAUGUAGGAAAAGCAUAAGUUGAUACUCAGUUUUUUGAAUGUAUUGACCAUCAGUUAUUCUCAAAGAUGCUUUUUAUAUUGAACCUGUUAUUAUUCCUAAAUCAAAUCACUAAGUUCCUUGUGAAGUUACGAUACUUUCCCCCCAAAUACAUCCCUACAUAUAUCAACACAGCCAUUUUUUAUAUUACUAUAACAUUUGCUUCUAACAAUGUGUAUUAUCUCUAGUGUUAUUACAAGUACUCUGAGCUAGUGUAUAUAUAUGAGAUUAGAACCAGUUAUACAAAACAUCUCCAUGAAAGACUAGUUUCAAGAAUAAAUCCAUGUAGAUAUUGUUGUCUUGAAUUACAAAGUAUCAGCCAAUUCCCUGCCUAAAGAUUUACAUGUUUAUAUUACCUGGACUAGUUCACAAAAUUGGUAUACAACUAUCUAACAACAUAAAAAUAUGUAUCUGCCUACAUAUAUAAACUCUCAUAUUCUAUUCAACAGAUCAAUGAAGGUGUCUUCUUUGCAUGGAAUCGUGAGGCCUCCUUCUGGAUGACUAAACCCAAAUUCUUCCUCAGCUUGACUUAACAGGUCUUGGAACGUAGGCUCAUUUAAGUAAGAGAUCGGAACUACAAAUCUUCUUCUUUGGUUCUCCCCAACAUAAACUGCCAUGCAUCCCUUAGGGACAUUUGUACUACGAUCAAGAUUUGUUGAGGAGAAUUGGCGGUUAAGCAUUUGCUUGAGACUAGUGAUACGAGGAACAUGGAUACCCAUGAAUUUGACAAAAAAAAUGAAAUUUUCCGGGUAAACUUUGGGGAUAUGAAAAUACAAGGACUUCUGCAGAUUGAUCAAAUGGUUUUGACACUAGAUUACACUCAAGUUUAUAAUGACUUUGGUUAAGUUUCCAAUGGUGUUUAUAUAGAACUGAUUGAAUGUAUUGGCCGUUGAUCAAAAUGCAGAUUGAGUGGCACAGAUGCAUUAGGCAUCAGCACAUGCUAUUCUCUUUCACUGGCCACAUAUGUUUAAGACUAAUGUUAGGAAUUAUAUGUCUGUUAAGAGACAUCAUGUCCUACAAUUUGUUUUGAACAAAUCUCAACCUGAUAUUUAUGCUUUAUGAUAUGAGAGUUCAUACAUAUAAUAUGCAGUGAGACGAACCACAUGCAUCUAAAAGCUGGAAACUUCAAAUGUCAUGUUAUUANCUUCAUACAAACUUUGUAGGGAGCCCAUAAUUUGACACUCAAUUGAUUUUGAUCAUAUUGAUUUCUCUUAUUCUCAUAACUGGAUACUUUUUAUUUAUAUAAGCACAUAGAUAAGCAGUGGUUGAAAUCAUCACAAUUUUAAUUGUCUAAAGCCUUAUUCAUACAACAUACAACUUUACCUAGUAUUACUAAUCUUGAUAAAUCCUGAUUAUACUCUAACAAUUCCAAAAGGGUUGGUUAGCAUACCUGAAUGAACCCUGCCUUUCAAGACUUAUCAAGUUAACCCGAGGAAGAAUAUGGAUUCCAUCAUCCGGAAGGUGGCCUCAAAAUUCCCUGCACAGAGGACACGUUCCUUGACCUCACUUGGCGCCUACAAAAUUAUAUUGAAAAACAGUUUAUUUAAUCGUUAAAUAGCAUAGCAUCUCCAAACAUAUUUACUUAGCUUAAAAAUGUGUACAGUAGCAUAGAGAUUUUUAAAUUGCAUUAUAUAAGCGAGAUAUAAUAGUCAGAUACUCGAUUUGCACCAAGACACAUUGAUUACGGUUUCUGUUGAUACUGUUUCUAUCUAACAAAUUUUUAUCUGAAAACAAAUUACUAACUCUCUCAAAGAUAAGAAUUGUUCUUGGAACAUAUCCGUAAUAUACAAAACCUACAAAAAAAACCAACUAAAUAUGCCAAGGUAUAGCAGUCUAAGAGCCUGUUUGUCCAGGCUUCAAGCUGGGACUUUAAACUGUUUCUAAUUUUAAGCUGAAAAAUGUAUGUUUGUGUAAUAAGUUAGAAGCCGACUUAAAGUCAGAAUUAAGCCAGAAACUGACUCAAAGCCAGAAGUUAGUUUGAUGUACUUUUUAAAUCCUAAUCUUACCUCAACGAUUCCAAAGGGGUGCUUGGCAGUUUAUAUUGUGGAGAGGCAAAGAAGCCGAUUUGUAGUACCCAUUUCAUACCUGAAUGAGCCUGCCUUUCAAUAUUUGUUAAGUCAAGCCGAGGAAGAAUUUGGAUUUAAUCAUCCGGAAGGAGGUCUUACAAUUCCUUGCUCAGUGGACACAUUCAUUGAUCUCACUUCGCGCCUGAGAAAUUUAAAAUGGAAAACAAUUUGUGUAUUUUUAGAUGUUAGAGCAACUGUGAUCUCAUACGAUGAGCAUCUGAGUGUCAAUUGUAGAACAGAGGUUUUUCAUAUAAGUUAUGUAGGAAAAGCAUAAGUUGAUACUCAGUUUUUUGAAUGUAUUGACCAUCAGUUAUUCUCAAAGAUGCUUUUUAUAUUGAACCUGUUAUUAUUCCUAAAUCAAAUCACUAAGUUCCUUGUGAAGUUACGAUACUUUCCCCCCAAAUACAUCCCUACAUAUAUCAACACAGCCAUUUUUUAUAUUACUAUAACAUUUGCUUCUAACAAUGUGUAUUAUCUCUAGUGUUAUUACAAGUACUCUGAGCUAGUGUAUAUAUAUGAGAUUAGAACCAGUUAUACAAAACAUCUCCAUGAAAGACUAGUUUCAAGAAUAAAUCCAUGUAGAUAUUGUUGUCUUGAAUUACAAAGUAUCAGCCAAUUCCCUGCCUAAAGAUUUACAUGUUUAUAUUACCUGGACUAGUUCACAAAAUUGGUAUACAACUAUCUAACAACAUAAAAAUAUGUAUCUGCCUACAUAUAUAAACUCUCAUAUUCUAUUCAACAGAUCAAUGAAGGUGUCUUCUUUGCAUGGAAUCGUGAGGCCUCCUUCUGGAUGACUAAACCCAAAUUCUUCCUCAGCUUGACUUAACAGGUCUUGGAACGUAGGCUCAUUUAAGUAAGAGAUCGGAACUACAAAUCUUCUUCUUUGGUUCUCCCCAACAUAAACUGCCAUGCAUCCCUUAGGGACAUUUGUACUACGAUCAAGAUUUGU
rnacentral:lncRNA from 1 species